GAAGAAAAAGUGAGACAUUUCAAGGAAUUCAGCUAAUAAAGGUGGUGAAUCCUCCGAUAAAAACAAGAGAAUUGCACCUGAGGACCAGUAAUCUAAGUACUUCGAAAAUCCCCAUUCUAGACAUUGCUGGGUAGUAAAAUAUUAGCCCUGUCAUGCUGUCAAAAUUUUA
rnacentral:sRNA from 10 species